GGUUCCACGCCUUGGACCCUGAGAGCUCCUUUUAGAAACAAAUAAGCUGGAAUUCAGACAUGAAAACUAGUCUCUUGCAGGGAAGCUGAGACUCUGAAUUGAAGAGGUGUGUCCAAAGCAACACUCACUAGGUGUAAUGCUCAGAAAGGCCACAGGUCACUGCUGUGAUCAACAGACCCUUAAACUGAAGCUACCUAUCCAUCACCUGGAAUCUACUGAUGGAAACAUGCUGAAAUUGAUCUGGAAGGAAGGAAAAAUACCAUCACAGCCUGCUUGCCAAGUAACAGCCCAGAGACAUCCUUUAGUCUGGCUCAUAACAACUCAGGAUCUUGAAUUUAC